rnacentral:lncRNA from 1 species
CAGGGACACACGCACGCACGCACACACACACACACACACACACACAGCCACUUGUGGCAGGUCAGGUGGUCAUGCGGCCCAGCAGGGCAGAGACUGGGCCAGUGCUCAGGUUUCCAUGUGUCUGAAGGACAAGUGACCGGGCCUGCUUUUCUUCACCCAGAAGAAUGCCUUCUCCAAACACUAGUUUUGUGCUUCCUGGCCGUGUCAGGGCCUUGCAGGAGGGGAAGAGCAGAGGGCGUGGAGGAGGGGGAGGAGCAUGCGCCCGGCCCUCAGCCCUCAGCCCUCGGCCCUUGGCCCUGUCUGGUGUUUUCCUUCCGCCCUCCCCACCCAGAAGGCAGAUGCCUGCUGGGAAACUGUGGCCGCCCAGCCACUGGCUGUGGGGAGAAUCCCAAAGCCCAGUGUUUGGACUUGGGGUAGGAAGGGAGCCGGGGCUCAGAGGGGAGUCUCUGAGUGAGUCAGUGACAGGCCUGUCGGGCCUGGUACCCAGAGCAGCGGUUUCCAGCUGGAGUCCACGGCCCAGCCCUGGGGGCAUCCAGGGUGGGAGAAAGGGUAUGAGAAGGGUGUGUCUAGACCAACUUGGAAGGAGCAGCUCUGCCUUUGGUUUGUUGUUUGGGAAAGGUCUGGGGAUCAGCGUCUCGAGGGUCUUCCAGCUUUGGGGCUCUGUGCCUCAGAUGCGUCCUCAGAACAGCAGGCCUGUCCAACUUCACAGACCUGAGAACGGCCCCCGAAGGAGAGAGAGGCCACAUCUCCUGAUAGGCAGGGCUGAGAGCCAUCCGGAGGGGACGGCCACCAGCUCUGUCGGGGUCUGUGGCCGGUUCCCACCCCUCCCUGGCCUCAAGCCUGACAUCCGCCACCCCAGCAGCACAGAAACCCACUGCCGAGGCACCUUAGGAAAGCCACAAAGAAAUGAGGGUCGUGGCCAAGAGGUGUCAAAUGAAAGCCAGUUCCAGUCAGGCUGCCUUGCUAAGCCUUCUUCAUAGGUUAUCUCCCUGAAUCCGCACAACCCUACGAGGUAGGUAAUGUCGUCACCCCAUUUUACGGACGAAGGAUCAGCAACCCAAAGAUCACACCAUUAAUAAAUACAGAUCGGGAUGUGUACCCAGAGAGUCCACCUCUAGAAUCC